AAAAGAGAGGCGCGAAAAGCGCCACGUCCCGCAGAAAACGAACCCCAGCACGACUCGUUUGCCUGCCACAAAAAUGCGCGCGUCUGUCUCUGUCGCCUCCAGCGGCUCUGCUCUUCACCGCUCCUCGCGCGUUUCAUCGAGGAAGGUUCCUCGUGCGACAUCCACGCCCGUCGUUUCCCCGCGAAUUCCGACAGCCUUACGGUUUCUGGCAACAGAGCAGACUGAACGUAAGGCCUUUUACACCUCCGCAGCAACAUGUACUUGUACGUCCAGUAGUAGAUGCCCCACAUCACCAUGCCGAAGAAGCCUCCGAUCGGAGCGAGAGGAAGAUACAUUACAGUCAGCGCGAAAGACUUCAGAACCGUCGCAAGUCUGGCAAGGCCGAAAGCCGAAACACAAAAACCUCAGGCAGAGCUUCAGAUGCACGUGCGGGUACAGCACAUUUUCCCCCACACUUUUCAAGGACGCACAGAGUGCUUGCGGCAACACGGACGUACGCGGUCCUCUUUCUCCGCAACAGAGCCACACGUUUCUCCAAAAUCACCUCUUCCCACGCACGCACAUACAUAUAAAUACAUAUAUUGUACCCGUACAAAAGAUAUUUACACAUAUAUAUAUAUAUAUAUAUAUGUACAAGUGUUACUAAGUUUAGACACGCGCUGCGGCGUGCGUAUCGAUGGAAGUCUGUGUGGCUGUGACGAGUCUGUUUUUCUGUUUCGCAAUUCCUGUCUUCGUCUCCGUGAGUCCAGCGCUGUCUCAGGCGCCUUCGCUUGUUUUUCGACCCCUGGAACGAGUGCGGGCACUUGAGAAGGCUCGCAGGUUUUCGGCUUUCUCGAGUUUGAGGAGAGGCGCGAGAGAUGCUGGGACUGAGCGUACCUCGAAGGUGUGUAGAAGAG
rnacentral:lncRNA from 1 species